rnacentral:lncRNA from 1 species
CAGUCUGCCUGCCUUGGCCUCCCAAAGUCCUGGGAUUACAGGCAUGAGCCACCGUGCCUGGCUUUCACAGGGUUUUAAAUUUUUAACUGGACGCUUAUAUAUGUUCAGGGCAUUCUGCCGUAAGUACUCUGUCCUGUUCUGUUCUUUGAAUUGUAUACCAGCAGCAAAUAAAAUAGAAGCUUCCAGCAUAUAACAGGCAUCCUCUCCAAUUUUCUUAUUUUAGCCAAUAAUGACAUACCAGUUGAAGAAAUCCAUUCUCCAUUUACAACAAUACUUUUGAGAACAUUUUUGAAUUAUCUCCUGCAUUUGGCGUACCACAUUUAUCACGAAGAAUUCCAAAAGAGAAGCCCGUCGCUCUUCUUGUGUUUUACAAAACUGAUGACCGAGAACAUUCGUCCAAAUGCCUGCCAGGUAAAAGGUGAAUACAAAACCAACAGGAUUAUAUUUACUGCCUUUUUUUUCCUCAAAAUAUAAAUCUGGGCUGGGCGCGGUGGCUCACUCCUGCAAUCCCAGCAUUGUGGGA